rnacentral:rRNA from 1 species
AGUGAACGCUGGCGGCGUGCCUAAUACAUGCAAGUCGAACGAACGCACGAUAAGCGUUCUUCUCUGAUGGUGGCGGCUGACGGGCGAGUAAGGCGUGGAUAACCUACUUAUUUUACGGGGGUGAUUUCGGGGGACCGGAUCUAAUACCAGAUAAUAUUUUCAACCGGAUAGAUCAGAAGUUAUAGACACUUUUGCUGUCUCUUAUAGAUGGAUCCGGGCUGCAUUAGCUAGUUGGUAAGGUAACGGCUAACCAAGGCGACGAUGCAUAGCUGAGCUGAGAGGGUGAUCGGCCACACUGGAACUGAGACACGGUCCAGACUCCUACGGGAGGCAGCAGUGGGGAAUAUUGCGCAAUGGGCGAAAGCCUGAUCGAGCAACACCGCGUGAGUGAUGAAGGUCUUCGGAUUGUAAAGCCCUGUUAUUGGGAAAGAAAAUCUGUAUAUGAAUACCCCGCCAUCUUGACGGUACCUAAUGAGUAAGCAACGGCUAACUACGUG